UUCGCCUUCAUGAAGCCGGAAUUGCUAGUAAUGGCAGGUCAGCAUACUGCCGUGAAUACGUUCCCGGGCCUUGUACACACCGCCCGUCACACCAUGAGAGUUGGGGAUACCCGAAGCCUGUGAGCCAACUAUAUAGAGGCAGCAGUCGAAGGUAGAAUCAAUGAUUGGGGUGAAGUCGUAACAAGGUACC
rnacentral:rRNA from 1 species